rnacentral:rRNA from 1 species
UAGAGUUUGAUCCUGGCUCAGAUUGAACGCUGGCGGCAUGCUUUACACAUGCAAGUUCGAACGGCAGCGCGGGGCAACCUGGCAGCGAGUGGCGAACGGGUGAGUAAUAUAUCGGAACGUACCCAAGAGUGGGGGAUAACGUAGCGAAAGUUACGCUAAUACCGCAUACGAUCUAAGGAUGAAAGCAGGGGAUCUUCGGACCUUGUGCUCCUGGAGCGGCCGAUAUCUGAUUAGCUAGUUGGUGAGGUAAAGGCUCACCAAGGCCACGAUCAGUAGCUGGUCUGAGAGGACGACCAGCCACACUGGAACUGAGACACGGUCCAGACUCCUACGGGAGGCAGCAGUGGGGAAUUUUGGACAAUGGGCGAAAGCCUGAUCCAGCAAUGCCGCGUGAGUGAAGAAGGCCUUCGGGUUGUAAAGCUCUUUUGUCAGGGAAGAAACGGUGAGGGCUAAUAUCCUUCGCUAAUGACGGUACCUGAAGAAUAAGCACCGGCUAACUACGUGCCAGCAGCCGCGGUAAUACGUAGGGUGCAAGCGUUAAUCGGAAUUACUGGGCGUAAAGCGUGCGCAGGCGGUUUUGUAAGUCUGACGUGAAAUCCCCGGGCUCAACCUGGGAAUUGCGUUGGAGACUGCAAGGCUAGAAUCUGGCAGAGGGGGGUAGAAUUCCACGUGUAGCAGUGAAAUGCGUAGAGAUGUGGAGGAACACCGAUGGCGAAGGCAGCCCCCUGGGUCAAGAUKGACGCUCAUGCACGAAAGCGUGGGGAGCAAACAGGAUUAGAUACCCUGGUAGUCCACGCCCUAAACGAUG